rnacentral:rRNA from 1 species
AUUGAACGCUGGCGGCAUGCUUUACACAUGCAAGUCGAACGGUAACAGGCCUUCGGGUGCUGACGAGUGGCGAACGGGUGAGUAAUGCAUCGUAACGUACCCAGAGGUUUGGGUUAACGCAUCGAAAGCUGUUCUAAUACCUCAUUUGAUCUGAGGAUGAAAGCGGGGGACCGUGCAGCAAUGUUUCGCCUCGCGCCUUUGGAGCGGCCGAUGUCGGAUUAGCUAGUUGGUGUGGUAAAGUCCUACCAAGUCGACGAUCCGUAGCUGGUCUGAGAGGACGACCAGACACACGGGGAGUGAGAAACGGCAAAGACACAUACGGGAGGCAGCAGUGGGGAAUUUUGGACAAUGGGCGAAAGCCUGAUCCAGCAAUGCAGCGUGAGGGAAGAAGGCCUUCGGGUUGUAAACCGAUUUUGGCAGGAAAGAAAAGGUGUCCGCUAAUACCGGGCGCUAAUGACGGUACCUGCAGAAUAAGCAACGGCUAACUACGUG